UCAAAUUGUACUCUGUUUGUUUCUCUCCUACUCUUUUCUGACAAAUGUUAUUAUCUGUGCUUCAUUACUACUCUCUCUAAAUCAUGUGAGAGUUGAAUGAUGUUGCAGGAUAACUAUUGAUGGUGAAAAGAUUGUUGUUUUUUAUAUUGGUAUAGGGGGGGUAUAAUACAAAUGGUCCUUCAAAUCCAGUUGGAAGCUCCUCCCUGUAAUUGAUGAAGGCAGGAUUUACUAUUUCUAGGGAGUAAGAGGUUUAUUUGUUGAACCAUGAUAUCUAAGGGAGUAAGAGGCAACGUCCAGGGGUAUCUAAGAGAGCUGGUCCAGGCUUGAUGGAAAUCGCUUAGUACAUUCAUGGGAUCACAAACUUUUGGCGUUGGUUGAGAUUAGUGACGCAGGACCAUUAAUAACUAGAAGACUGUGACAAUUAACUUACUGUUUCAUGAAUUAGAGAGGCUGGGUUGGACCAACUCCAUGUUACAGGCCCUUUCCUCAUUGCAUUUCUCUUGACAUUAAAUUGAUUAAAUUAUAAUUUCAGUAGGAAAUCUACAACAUACUCAGAUCAUUAUGAUUACUCUUUCCUGUUUUUGUUUCUAUAUCUAAUUGAUAUAUAGA